UGCAGUCGACGGCAGCGCGGGGCAACCUGGCGGCGAGUGGCGAACGGGUGAGUAAUAUAUCGGAACGUACCCAAGAGUGGGGGAUAACGUAGCGAAAGUUACGCUAAUACCGCAUACGAUCUACGGAGGAAAGGGGGGGAUCUUACGACCUCUCGCUGCAGGGGCGGCCGAUGGCAGAUUACCUAGUUGGUGGGGUAAAGGCCUACCAAGGCGACGAUCUGUAGCUGGUCUGAGAGGACGACCAGCCACACUGGGACUGAGACACGGCCCAGACUCCUACGGGAGGCAGCAGUGGGGAAUUUUGGACAAUGGGCGCAAGCCUGAUCCAUCAAUGCCGCGUGUGUGAAGAAGGCCUUCGGGUUGUAAAGCACUUUUGUCCGGAAAGAAAACUUCUGGGUUAAUACCCUGGGAGGAUGACGGUACCGGAAUAAUAAGCACCGGCUAACUACGUGCCAGCAUCCGCGGUAAUACGUAGGUGCGAGCGUUAAU
rnacentral:rRNA from 1 species